UGUUCUGUGGCCAAGUUGGUUACAGUGUCGGGGACUAGCGAUACGGAGUCGUGGGUUCGAAUCCCACCAAAACAG
rnacentral:tRNA from 1 species